rnacentral:rRNA from 1 species
UACGUAGGGGGCUAGCGUUGUCCGGAUUUAUUGGGCGUAAAGGGCGCGUAGGCGGCCAUGCGUGUCUUCCGUGAAAUCCCUCGGCUUAACUGAGGACGUGCGGAAGAAACUGCAAGGCUCGGAGUCCGGGGAGAGGGGGGGUGGAAUUCCCAGUGUAGCGGUGAAAUGCGUAGAUAUUGGGAGGAACACCGGUGGCGAAGGCGGCCCCCUGGACCGGUACUGACGCUGAGG